rnacentral:rRNA from 1 species
GGGAAUCUACCCUGAACUGCGGAAUAGCUCCGGGAAACUGGAAUUAAUACCGCAUGUGCCCUGAGGGGCAAAGAUUUAUCGGUUCAGGAUGAGCCCGCGUCGGAUUAGCUAGUUGGUGGGGUAAUGGCCUACCAAGGCGACGAUCCGUAGCUGGUCUAAGAGGAUGAUCAGCCACAUUGGGACUGAGACACGGCCCAAACUCCUACGGGAGGCAGCAGUGGGGAAUAUUGGACAAUGGGCGCAAGCCUGAUCCAGCCAUGCCGCGUGAGUGAUGAAGGCCCUAGGGUUGUAAAGCUCUUUCGGUGGGGACGAUAAUGACGGUACCCACAGAAGAAGCCCCGGCUAACUUCGUGCCAGCAGCCGCGGUAAUACGAAGGGGGCUAGCGUUGUUCGGAAUUACUGGGCGUAAAGCGCACGUAGGCGGAUAUUUAAGUCAGGGGUGAAAUCCCGGGGCUCAACCCCGGAACUGCCUUUGAUACUGGAUGUCUUGAGUCCGGAAGAGGUGAGUGGAAUUGCGAGU